CUGCUUGAAGCGCUGAUGGAGCCGGCUAGCGUCGGCCGAAGCCUCGGCUUGGCUCGGAGCCGGACUCGGAGCCGCAGCCGCCGCCUUGGCUGGGGUGCUGCUAGUGCGUCUGCUUCGAACCACUUCGCGAGACAGGUAGCGAGAGGACCCAACCACUGCCAGUGCUGUCGUCUUCGCCAGUCCUGCCCUCCUUCCCGCCCUCCCUCUUACCGCGAGGCCAAGUCUGAAGGGUCCUGGCCAGACCCCCCUAUCCCCCGAGCACCGGCACAACGACCGUUCCGGGGAUGUGCUGCUGUCACAUAAAGUCGAGUUUCUAGCGUUUUU